GACGAACGCUGGCGGCGUGCUUAACACAUGCAAGUCGAACGGAAAGGCCCUGCUUUUGUGGGGUGCUCGAGUGGCGAACGGGUGAGUAACACGUGAGUAACCUGCCCCUGACUUUGGGAUAACUUCAGGAAACUGGGGCUAAUACCGGAUAGGAGCUCCUGCUGCAUGGUGGGGGUUGGAAAGUUUCGGCGGUUGGGGAUGGACUCGCGGCUUAUCAGCUUGUUGGUGGGGUAGUGGCUUACCAAGGCUUUGACGGGUAGCCGGCCUGAGAGGGUGACCGGCCACAUUGGGACUGAGAUACGGCCCAGACUCCUACGGGAGGCAGCAGUGGGGAAUAUUGCACAAUGGGCGGAAGCCUGAUGCGGCAACGCCGCGUGCGGGAUGACGGCCUUCGGGUUGUAAACCGCUUUCGCCUGUGACGAAGCGUGAGUGACGGUAAUGGGUAAAGAAGCACCGGCUAACUACGUG
rnacentral:rRNA from 1 species